AACCUGCGGAUGGAUCAU
rnacentral:rRNA from 2 species